GGCUCAGAUUGAACGCUGGCGGCAUGCCUUACACAUGCAAGUCGAACGGCAGCACGGGAGCAAUCCUGGUGGCGAGUGGCGAACGGGUGAGUAAAGUAUCGGAACGUGCCCAGUCGUGGGGAUAACGUAGCGAAAAUUACGCUAAUACCGCAUACGAUCUACGGAUGAAAGCGGGGGAUCGCAAGACCUCGCGCGAUUGGAGCGGCCGAUAUCAGAUUAGGUAGUUGGUGAGGUAAAGGCUCACCAAGCCGACGAUCUGUAGCUGGUCUGAGAGGACGACCAGCCACACUGGAACUGAGACACGGUCCAGACUCCUACGGGAGGCAGCAGUGGGGAAUUUUGGACAAUGGACGCAAGUCUGAUCCAGCCAUUCCGCGUGCAGGACGAAGGCCUUCGGGUUGUAAACUGCUUUUGUACAGAACGAAAAGGUCUCUAUUAAUACUAGGGGCUCAUGACGGUACUGUAAGAAUAAGCACCGGCUAACUACGUG
rnacentral:rRNA from 1 species